rnacentral:rRNA from 1 species
AGUGAACGCUGGCGGUAGGCCUAACACAUGCAAGUCGAACGGCAGCACAGUAAGAGCUUGCUCUUACGGGUGGCGAGUGGCGGACGGGUGAGGAAUACAUCGGAAUCUACUUUUUCGUGGGGGAUAACGUAGGGAAACUUACGCUAAUACCGCAUACGACCUACGGGUGAAAGCAGGGGAUCUUCGGACCUUGCGCGAUUGAAUGAGCCGAUGUCGGAUUAGCUAGUUGGCGGGGUAAAGGCCCACCAAGGCGACGAUACGUAGCUGGUCUGAGAGGAUGAUCAGCCACACUGGAACUGAGACACGGUCCAGACUCCUACGGGAGGCAGCAGUAGGGAAUAUUGGACAAUGGGCGCAAGCCUGAUGCAGCCAUGCCGCGUGAGUGAAGAAGGCCUUCGGGUUGUAAAGCUCUUUUGUUGGGAAAGAACAGCAGCAGGUUAAUACCCCGCUGUUCUGACGGUACCCAAAGAAUAAGCACCGGCUAACUUCGUG